GAAGGUAGUCUAAAUAUCCCAAAGCACCAGAUCCCACCUGAUCUUGGAAACUAAGUAGGCUCAACCUUGGUUAAGACUCAGAAGGGAGACCACCAAUGAAUACCAGGUACUGUAGGCU
rnacentral:rRNA from 11 species